rnacentral:rRNA from 1 species
UUAGUACCGUGAGGGAAAGUUGAAAAGAAGCUAUGAAGAGAGAGUUCAAGAGUACGUGAAACCGUUCAGGGGUAAACCUGAGAAACCCAAAAGAUCGAAUGGGGAGAUUCAACGUAAACUUUGCCGAUUGCCGUGUUGUAACGCGCGAUAUUUGUUAUCUCGGUAACGAGUACGCCGUUGCUGCGGUUUGUAUUGGUUAAGUAAGCGUGCACUUCUCCCCUAGUAGGACGUCGCGACCCGUUGGGUGCCGGCCUACGGCCCGCAAGGUCGACUGUUGCUUGGGCGUUUACGCGCCUCUCGUGGCAGACCUGCGGAUGCCCGGCCGGCUGCCCGGCGGUAGUGAUUAAUCAAGAAUUGGUAUUUGGCCGCAUCUCGUAUGUGCGUACCGGCUCAUUGGCAGGCUCGCCUUGCUCGGUAAACGGACCUAGCGCCGUUGCCGGGUACUUGGUGGGUCGUUCGCUGACGAUGUCCUCGUACUGGCUAUUACCGGUCGGCGACGCUACUGCUUUGGGUACUUUCAGGACCCGUCUUGAAAAACGGACAAAAA